rnacentral:rRNA from 1 species
UACGUAGGGCGCAAGCGUUAUCCGGAAUUAUUGGGCGUAAAGAGCUCGUAGGCGGUUUGUCGCGUCUGCCGUGAAAGUCCGGGGCUCAACUCCGGAUCUGCGGUGGGUACGGGCAGACUAGAGUGAUGUAGGGGAGACUGGAAUUCCUGGUGUAGCGGUGAAAUGCGCAGAUAUCAGGAGGAACACCGAUGGCGAAGGCAGGUCUCUGGGCAUUAACUGACGCUGAGGAGCGAACGCAUGGGGAGCGAACAGG